rnacentral:rRNA from 1 species
GACGAACGCUGGCGGCGUGCCUAAUACAUGCAAGUAGAACGCACAGUUUAUACCGUAGCUUGCUACACCAUAGACUGUGAGUUGCGAACGGGUGAGUAACGCGUAGGUAACCUGCCUGGUAGCGGGGGAUAACUAUUGGAAACGAUAGCUAAUACCGCAUAAUAUUAAUUAUUGCAUGAUAAUUAAUUGAAAGGUGCAAUUGCACCACUACCAGAUGGACCUGCGUUGUAUUAGCUAGUAGGGGAGGUAACGGCUCACCUAGGCGACGAUACAUAGCCGACCUGAGAGGGUGAUCGGCCACGCUGGGACUGAGACACGGCCCAGACUCCUACGAGAGGCAGCAGUAGGGAAUCUUUGGCAAUGGACGAAAGUCUGACCGUGCGACGCCGCGUGAGUGAAGAAGGUUUUCGGAUCGUAAAGCUCUGUUGUAAGAGAAGAACGGGUGUGAGAGUGGAAAGUUCACACUGUGACGGUAUCUUACCAGAAAGGGACGGCUAACUACGUG